rnacentral:rRNA from 1 species
AGUGAACGCUGGCGGCGUGCCUAAUACAUGCAAGUCGAACGAAGUGGCGCACGGGUGAGUAAUAUAUAGUUAAUCUGCCCUACACAGAGGAACAACAGUUGGAAACGACUGCUAAUACCACAUAGUGUAGGAUGAGACUAUAUCGUAUCAGCUAGUUGGUAAGGUAAUGGCUUACCAAGGCUAUGACGCGUAACUGGUCUGAGAGGAUGAUCAGUCACAUUGGAAUUGAGACACGGUUGAGACGCAUUCGGCAUGGAGCAGGAAGGUAGAUUGCGCAAUAGGGGAAUCCCUGACGCAGCAACGGCGCGUGGAGGAUGACACUUUGCGGAGCGUGAACUCCUUGUAUUACGAAAGCGGUACCUGACGAAUAAGCACCGGCUAACUCCGUGCCAGCAGCCGCGGUAAUUC